rnacentral:snoRNA from 1 species
AAUCCACUGAUAAACCUUGAACAGUUGCUGUUGUUCUUUUGGUUUGUACUAGGAUGAAAAAGAAAUAAAUCCCUGUGCUUUCUGUCUUUGUGGUGGCACAGAUUGAAUUGGGGAAUACAUUU